GAUGAACGCUAGCGGCAGGCUUAAUACAUGCAAGUCGAGGGGCAGCAGGACUGUAGCAAUACAGUUGCUGGCGACCGGCAAACGGGUGCGGAACACGUACGCAACCUUCCUUUAAGUGAGGGAUAGCCCAGGGAAACUUGGAUUAAUACCUCGUAAUAUUUGAGAGUGGCAUCACUUUUUAAUUAUAGCUCCGGCGCUUAAAGAUGGGCGUGCGACUGAUUAGGUAGUUGGCGGGGUAACGGCCCACCAAGCCUACGAUCAGUAACUGGUGUGAGCACACGACCAGUCACACGGGCACUGAGACACGGGACCGACUCCUACGGGAGGCAGCAGUAAGGAAUAUUGGUCAAUGGACGCAAGUCUGAACCAGCCAUGCCGCGUGGAGGAUGAAGGUCCUCUGGAUUGUAAACUUCUUUUAUCUGGGAAGAAACCCAUAUUUUCUAGUGUGGUUGACGGUACCAGAUGAAUAAGCACCGGCUAACUCCGUGCCAGCCGCCGCAGUAAAAC
rnacentral:rRNA from 1 species